AUUGAACGCUGGCGGAAUGCUUUACACAUGCAAGUCGAACGGCAGCACGGACUUCGGUCUGGUGGCGAGUGGCGAACGGGUGAGUAAUGUAUCGGAACGUGCCCAGUCGUGGGGGAUAACGUAGUGAAAAUUACGCUAAUACCGCAUACGAUCUAUGGAUGAAAGCGGGGGAUCGCAAGAACUCGCGCGAUUGGAGCGGCCGAUAUCAGAUUAGGUAGUUGGUGGGGUAAAGGCCCACCAAGCCAACGAUCUGUAGCUGGUCUGAGAGGACGACCAGCCACACUGGAACUGAGACACGGUCCAGACUCCUACGGGAGGCAGCAGUGGGGAAUUUUGGACAAUGGGCGAAAGCCUGAUCCAGCCAUUCCGCGUGCAGGAUGAAGGCCCUCGGGUUGUAAACUGCUUUUGUACAGAACGAAAAGGUUUCUACUAAUACUAGGAGCUCAUGACGGUACUGUAAGAAUAAGCACCGGCUAGCUACGUGCCAGCCGCCGCGGUAA
rnacentral:rRNA from 1 species